UGCCUAUACCGGGCCGCCGGUCGGCAGUGCGACGCGUUCGGUUUCUGAACCGACGCGCUGAGGCCCCGGUGAGUAGGGGGGUCGCGACGGUGAGCGUUGAAGGGUACUGGGCGCGAGCCUGCCCGGAGCCGCCGUCGGUGCAGAUCUUGGUGGUAGUAGCAAAUACUCCAGAGGGAUCCUGGAGGACUGACGCGGAGAAGGGUUUCAUGUGAACAGUGGUUGGACAUGAGUCAGUCGAUCCUAAGCCGCAGGAGAAAUCCCUCCUAGCGUACAGGUGUGAUCUGAUAGUUGACUGUGAGCGACUCGAGCGAAGCGAGAGGCGCGUUUAAAUUGAAAUAAAUUUUUGCCCCGUCGGGCGACCGUCUCACGAGGCAUAGGGUGUACGGCGACAACAUAUUUUUUCAACCGCCCUUGUUCAAACUUCAAUCUUGGCCACCUCACAGUUCCUAUAUAAUAUAGAGGCACCGCUGGGUUAAGGCGAAAGGGAAUCUGGUCCUAAUUCCAGAACCAGGCUGUGGCUACGUCCGAUCGAAACGAAUUCAACCCUCGUUCAAUCGGUCGCGGUAACGCGACACAAACCGGAGAAGCUGUCGAGAACCCCGGGAAGAGUUUUCUUUUCUGCUUGAGGGACCGAGACCCUGGAAUUCCGUCGCGGAGCGAGAGGGUUUUGGAUACGCGCUGUUAAAAAGGCGAUCCCGAAGAGCGGCGCGUUUCCGCGCCGUCCGUGGUCGUUCUCGACUGGCCCUUGAAAAUCCGGCGGGAGGGUUACGUUUUUGGACGUUCACGCCUGCUCGUACCGAUAUCCGCAUCAGGUCUCCUAGGUGAACAGCCUCUAGUCGAUAGACGAAUGUAGGUAA
rnacentral:rRNA from 1 species